ACACUCCUACGGGAGGCAGCAGUGGGGAAUAUUGGACAAUGGGCGAAAGCCUGAUCCAGCAAUGCCGCGUGAGUGAUGAAGGCCUUAGGGUUGUAAAGCUCUUUUACCCGGGAUGAUAAUGACAGUACCGGGAGAAUAAGCCCCGGCUAACUCCGUGCCAGCAGCCGCGGUAAUACGGAGGGGGCUAGCGUUGUUCGGAAUUACUGGGCGUAAAGCGCGCGUAGGCGGCUUUGUAAGUUAGAGGUGAAAGCCCGGAGCUCAACUUCGGAAUUGCCUUUAAGACUGCAUCGCUAGAAUCGUGGAGAGGUGAGUGGAAUUCCGAGUGUAGAGGUGAAAUUCGUAGAUAUUCGGAAGAACACCAGUGGCGAAGGCGACUCACUGGACACGUAUUGACGCUGAGGUGCGAAAGCGUGGGGAGCAAACAGGAUUAGAUACCCCAGUAGUCCCAUGA
rnacentral:rRNA from 1 species